UACUCUCAAUACUAGCAGUACUCAGCGCUGAAAUUAACUUCUGAUAACCGCCGCGGCCAUCUAGAGCACUCUCUUCCUCCACGGCCGGGGGUCACUGUCUGUCCCUGCGCGAUUGCUGGUCACUGUCGCUCACGGCGCAGCCGCUUUCCCCUACCUCAGUGGCUAUUUCUCUGUCAAGUCAGUUACUCUCUUGGACGCCUUAACUCCCCCGCCCCAUUCUCUUGGCGCUGCGAUUGAAGCUCGCCUCCGUCAGGCCGUUGUUCGAAAAUCAUUGCGAUAGAGCUUUGUGCCACUGCCGUCGUGCCGUCAUCGACGUCAACGUGCUCCGCCUCCGUCGUUGACAUUGUUGCUGCCACCGUGUCCUGUUGUCUCCCCUUUCGUUCCUAUAAGGAUAUGUAGCGGUGAAGGCAAAGAAGACAAUAUUAGACAUAUUGAUUUAUGCAUCACAUUUUGAAGGAACGAAGGAGGAACAAGUGUUAACUCAUUUGAAUGUU